CCUACGAGAGGCAGCAGUGGGGAAUAUUGCACAAUGCGGGAAACCCUGAUGCAGCGACGCCGCGUGAGUGAAGUAGUAUUUCGGUAUGUAAAGCUCUAUCAGCAGGGAAGAAAAUGACGGUAUCUGAUUAAGAAGCCCCGGCUAACUACGUGCCAGCAGCCGCGGUAAUACGCAGGGGGCAAGCGUUAUCCGGAUUUACUGGGUGAAAAGGGAGCGUAGACGGCAGCACAAGUCUGGAGUGAAAUGCCGGGGCUUAACCCCGGAACUGCUUUGGAAACUGUGCAGCUAGAGUGCAGGAGAGGUAAGUGGAAUUCCUAGUGUAGCGGUGAAAUGCGUAGAUAUUAGGGGGAACACCAGUGGCGAAGGCGGCUUACUGGACUGUAACUGACGUUGAGGCUCGAAAGCGUGGGGAGCAAACAGGAUUAGAUACCCUUGAGUC
rnacentral:rRNA from 1 species